GCCGGGGUGAUGAAAUUGGUAAACAUAGCGGACUUAAAAUCCGCCGCCUUCGGGCUUGCCGGUUCAAGUCCGGUCCCCGGCACCA
rnacentral:tRNA from 14 species